ACACACACACACACACACACACACACACACAAUACACAGUUACCUAUUCAUGGAUACACAAAUCCGCAAGAGUUAUGCAUAUGUCAUAGGUUGCUAAAUAUGUUCUAGUUUAUAUACUAGGAUGAUACAGAUAAACAUUGUUGCAUAAGGGAAAUAGAUGCAAAAGAUGUAAUGAUGGAUGUUAAUAAUUACAGUUGACCAACAAUAAAAUUUUGGACUGAUAUCAGUUAUUGUCAAAAACAUGCAUCAGGGUUGUGGUUGUCUGCCAGAAGCUGUCAUAAAUUGACUUCUUAUCCAGUUCUAAGCCAAUACAUUUCAUUGUCAUUUCUGUCAUCGUUGCCGUGGGGGCAAACAAUCAACUCAAUAGCCAUUCCUGGCCGUGCCAAUGUGACACGUCCACAGUUGACUUAAACCUAUUGAACUUUAACAAGGAGAUGAUUAUAAGUUAAUAAACAAAUAUUAUUUAAGCAAAAGCAUAUAAACAUUACUGUUUAAUAUGUUUAUGUAUGCACUAAGUGUUACUUUCUUGGGGGGAAAAAAAAUCCUUUUUUUGAUUCUGAAUUUAUGUACAGAGCGGUCACAGAUGAUAACGUACAACAUAUUCUAUGUGUGAAUUUUUAUUUGGAUCUGGAUAAUUGUAUUACUUUUAAUAUAAAGUAUCCAUUUA